AAAAAUGUAGCAUAAAUUAAAUGCAUUUCACUUACACUGAAAUGAUGCUCUUAAUAGAGAGCCAUUUUUU
rnacentral:tRNA from 1 species